CGUACCUUUUGUAUAAUGGGUCAGCGACUUAUAUUCUGUAGCAAGGUUAACCGUAUAGGGGAGCCGAAGGGAAACCGAGUCUUAACCGGGCGUUAAGUUGCAGGGUAUAGACCCGAAACCCGGUGAUCUAGCCAUGGGCAGGUUGAAGGUUGGGUAACACUAACUGGAGGACCGAACCGACUAAUGUUGAAAAAUUAGCGGAUGACCUGUGGCUGGGGGUGAAAGGCCAAUCAAACCGGGAGAUAGCUGGUUCUCCCCGAAAGCUAUUUAGGUAGCGCCUCGUGAAUUCAUCUCCGGGGGUAGAGCACUGUUUCGGCUAGGGGGCCAUCCCGGCUUACCAACCCGAUGCAAACUGCGAAUACCGGAGAAUGUUAUCACGGGAGACACACGGCGGGUGCUAACGUCCGUCGUGAAGAGGGAAACAACCCAGACCGCCAGCUAAGGUCCCAAAGUCAUGGUUAAGUGGGAAACGAUGUGGGAAGGCCCAGACAGCCAGGAUGUUGGCUUAGAAGCAGCCAUCAUUUAAAGAAAGCGUAAUAGCUCACUGGUCGAGUCGGCCUGCGCGGAAGAUGUAACGGGGCUAAACCAU
rnacentral:rRNA from 1 species